AGAAUUAAUCUGGAAGGAAAGGGGGAAUCUAGGAUGACUCAGGCUUCCUCACCUCAUGGACAGGUCUCAGCCUGUGUUCUGGCAGCUGUGGCUCACUGGUUCCUGUGUCUGUAAACCUGGGAUAACCUGGGCUACCCCCAAGCUCUCGGCAUGGGCGGGUCAGGAUCUACAGGUUUUGUCUCAGCUCUCCAGGCACAAUUCCUACUUACCACAGUCCGAGGUACCACGGAACCUUCCUGCUGCUCUUAGCCCACCGUGUGAUUCAACAACAGUCUCCCAGUGCUUGCAGGGUGCCAGAGCUGCGCAGCACAGGCUCCUUCUGUCUGCUCUUCAGCUGGCCAUACUGGACUAUAAUUUGGUACCAGACCUCUUCGAGGAGGCGCCACCCCUACAACAACCCGGAAACUGAUCUCAUGUUUCCAGAAAAACUCGAAUCAUGUUACUUGCCUUGGGCACUGAAGAUACUUUGGAUCCACUUCUGGGCUGAAUAGACUUUAGUGGGGAAAGAGGCUUUCAGGAACACAGGGCUAAAUCUCCGUGAUCGCCACGAUGCAAGUAUGUAUCUGGAUUCAAGAGCUGACAAUUCUCCUUUGGCCUUGAAGAGUUGGUGCACCAGAGAGGCAGUCUGCACACUCGCCCCGCUCUCGGGACUAUGAAGCUCGUUCCUUGGCCUCUGAAGUUCCCAGAGAACUUCACUGAGGAUGAAGGGAAGGUCACUUAGUCCCAAUCAUCUCCCAGGAAUCUGCGAAGCUGGUCCACCCUUGGACUUUAAGGCUCAGCAGCAGGGACGCUGCCAUAGUCAGGGUCUCCUCCCAGGAGGGUCUUGCAGGUCUCCUGGUAUAUAUAUAGUGAGUUCUAGGCUAGUCUGGAGUACAAAGUGAGAUCCUAUCUCCAGAACUUCCUUUCAGGCCAAAGAUGCCUGGGAUAUGGGGAGUCGCCUGCAGUAAAAAGUACUUAACUCAUGGUGGCGCUCUUCCCAAAGAAGACGCUCUUCCUGCUCCUGCUCUGGGACGCUGGCGUGGGAAGAACUGUUUGUUUCCUUUUGCAUUUUUCUCGGAAAAUGCCUUUAAUGCUACUUUUAUUCCCAGACGAAGAAUAGGCUUUAAGAUUAAAAUAGAGAAGUUACAAGGAAAAAAUCAAGUUACUGAUAGUCCAGCAGGCCAGUAGUGACUCCACCUUCACAGCUCCCUGUAGAGAAUUGGGUAGGUGUUGUGCUGGGACCAACAAGGAGUAGCUUAGAAUCGCAGAUGAGCCUGCAGGAAGAAGGUUGCUAGGAAAGUGUGAUGUGGAUGAUGAAGGAGUUGAACCUUAUUAUAGACAAAGACCAGCUAGCAAGUGAAUGUGGCAUUAUGGUUUUGGAGACCACCGCAAAAGCAAUAUAAACAGCAAAAAGGUGUCCCUUACUUGAGCUGAAAUUAUCCUUCCAAAGCCUUUUGUAAAAGAAUCCCAGAGUGAACACGUAGACAGAGCUGUGGACAGGGUGUGUCUAGGUGUGUUAUAGCCGAGUUCUUAUCCACAUCAGACCUGUAACAGUCAUUCAGCUCUGUUCUGCAGGUUGUGUAGGAAUAGUUUCAGGGACUAGGAGAUGGCUCCGUGGAUAAAGUGUUUGCCAUGCAAAGUGUAAAGGCGGGAGUUUGGAUGCCUAGAACCCACGUAAAAGCCGAGCAAGCGUGCUGACUGACUAAAAUGGGGCCAGCCAGUAUGGCCAAAUUGGUAGGUUCCAAGUUCAAUCAGGCACUCUGCCUUGAUACAUAAAGGUUAAAAAGAUUGAGAAGGCACAUGUCAACUUCAAGCCUCACACGCAUGCACACACGUGCACCUGUGGCAAGCACCUGCAUACACAUGCCAGGUGAGCAUGAUAGCUCACCUGUAAUCCCAGUGAGUGACAGAGAUAGGCUCCCCAGAUUGAGCUAGCUAGUUGUACUCCCCAAACCAGCAAACUCCAGGCUCAAGUGACAGAGUCCGCCUCAACACACAAGACAGUGUUAUGGAAUAAUCUUUUUGUACACUGUGAAGAAGUGACACCCUGAUUGGAAGGAGGCAACCCAGUGGGAGGAAAAGGGUCCCAAUAAACAGUCAGGGAUACCCCACUCCCCCUGUUAGGAGUCCCACAGGAACACCAAGCAACACAACCAUAAUAAACACAGAAGGUUGAGCUCAGGCCCACACAGGCUCCCUGAUUGUUGCUUCAGUCUCCACAAGCCCCUACAAGCCCUGCUUAGUUGAUUCUGUGGGUCACGUUCUUGUGGUGUCCUUGACCCCUCUGGCUCCUACAAUCCUUCCUCCCCCUCUUCCGAGGGAUUCCCCAAGUUCCAUCUAAUGUUUGGCUGUGGGUCUGCAUCUGUUUCCAUCCGUUGCUGGAAGAAGGCUCUCUGAUGAUGACAGGGCUAGGCUCCAGUCUAUGAGCAUAGCAGGGUAUCUGAAGAACACUUUCAAUGCUGCUUUUAGAAAUACUUGGCCUACUUGACUGGGUGUGGUGCUGCACACCUUUAGGUGAAUCUGUGUUUGAGGUCAGCCUGGUCUACACAGUGAGUUCCUGGAUAUCCAGGCUACACAGAGAAACCCAGUCUUAGGCCUCGAACCCACAGAGAUCCACCUGCCUCUGCCUCCCGAGUGCUGAGUUUAAAGGCGUGUGCCCUUACCAUGGCCCAGCACCACGGAUUUUUAAAAAGGCCCACACAGGCUUCCCGUGCACAGUUGGAACCUCUGACUCUUUCUAAUCCGUCCCCCAUCUUUCUAGUUCAGUUUUUUUGCUUCCUUUAGGACUUGGGUAUUUUGCUAAGCUGCUAGCAUGCCAAGAGGAAACCUUUAACGAAACAAUUGUGAAUAGCACAGUUCAUUCCAAGCAGUGGUUGAGUUUAGAACAGCAGCUUCCCUUGAAAAGAUUUCUGCAUCAUGACUUGCAUUUUAAUGACCUCUUGUUUUACAAAAACAACAACCAGGGGCCCCUCUGCUGUGAAAUCUGUGAGUUUUUCAGAUAGUACUCUAAAGACAAUUUUGUAAGCCUCCCUGUUCGUUCUUGGUUUAUUUUUCCUCUCAUUAGACGUUAUUAUGGUUGACUAGUCAAAAGUAAACAAUUUUCAAGUACGACAUAAUAAUAAAGAAGUGCUGCUAGGGUUUUGGAAAGUUUUCUUUUUAAUUUUCUACCUUCUUCAAUUCUUACUCAAUUCAAGGACUUAAGAUUCGAGAGCUAAACACUUGGAUUUCUGCCUAGCACACAUUUUUUUGCUAUUUGCUUAAUUGCUAUAAUCAGCAUUGUACAUAGAAAGAACAUGGCUACCUUCUGUUAAAUAUGCACUUGGUAAAUAUCAAAAAAAUAAAAAGGAAAAAUUGAA